rnacentral:rRNA from 1 species
UGAAUACGAGAUGCUACGGCGUCGAAGCAGUCUAUGUCAUACUUCCAAGAAAAGCUUGCACUGUCAUAAACAAAUAAUGCCUGUACCAUAACCGACACAGGUGGGUAGGUAGAGUAUACUAAGGGGCGCGAGAUAACUCUCUCUAAGGAACUCGGCAAAAUGACUCCGUAACUUCGGGAGAAGGAGUGCCUUAUUUAUAAGGUUGCAAUAACAAGAUCCAAGCAACUGUUUACCAAAAACACAGGUCUCCGCUAAGUCGUAAGACGAUGUAUGGGGGCUGACGCCUGCCCAGUGCCAGAAGGUUAAAGAAGUUGGUUAGCAUCCGCGAAGCUGAUAACUGAAGCCCUGGUGAACGGCGGCCGUAACAAUAACGGUCCUAAGGUAGCGAAAUUCCUUGUCGGGUAAGUUCCGACCCGCACGAAAGGCGUAAUGAUUUGGAUACUGUCUCGGAGAGGGGCUCGGUGAAAUAGACUUGUCUGUGAAGAUGCGGACUACCUGCACCAGGACAGAAAGACCCUAUGAAGCUUUACUGUAACCUGAAAUUGAAAUUGGACUUUACUUGCGCAGUAUAGGUGGGAGGCGUUGAGAAUAUUCUUGCGGGAUUAUUGGAGCCAUCAGUGAGAUACCACUCUUGUAAUGUUAGAUUUCUAACUUUGUAUCAUUAUCUGGUCAAAGAACAGUUUCAGGCGGGCAGUUUGACUGGGGCGGUCGCCUCCUAAACGGUAACGGAGGCGCACAAAGGUUUCCUCUGAACGGGUAGAAAUCGUAUCUAGAGUGUAAAGGCAUAAGGAAGCUUGACUGUGAGACCUACAAGUCGAGCAGGGACGAAAGUCGGUCUUAGUGAUCUGACGGUGCUGAGUGGAAAGGCCGUCACUCAACGGAUAAAAGUUACUCUAAGGAUAACAGGCUGAUCUCCCCCAAGAGUUCACAUCGACGGGGAGGUUUGGCACCUCGAUGUCGGCUCAUCGCAUCCUGGGGCGGUAGUACGUCCCAAGGGUUGGGCUGUUCGCCCAUGAAAGCGGUACGCGAGCUGGGUUCAGAACGUCGUGAGACAGUUCGGUCCAUAUCCGGUGUAGGCGUUAGAAUAUUGAGAGGAGCCUUCUUUAGUACGAGAGGACCGAGAAGGACAUACCUCUGGUGUACCAGUUAUCGUGCCAACGGUAAACGCUGGGUAGCUAUGUGUGGAGUGGAUAACCGCUGAAAGCAUCUAAGUGGGAAGCCCACCUCAAGAUAAGUAUUCU